rnacentral:lncRNA from 1 species
GGUAUGAUUGCCAACUACCAAUCAAAGGUCAAAUAUUGCGGAUUUCAGCAAGUUCAAUUGCUGUGGAUUUUUAAGCAUUGGCAAUUCUACAGUCUUCAACAAUAACAGAACCCCAUACUGCAUAGUUGGCUAAAAGGACCCAAUAUAAAAAAUAUCAAUCAAUUCAAUCGAGAAAACUAAAGACAUAAUUUGAAGAAAAACAAUUUACAAAAAUAAAAUAUG